UACGUAGGGGGCAAGCGUUGUCCGGAAUCAUUGGGCGUAAAGAGCGUGUAGGCGGCCAGAAAAGUCCGCUGUGAAAACUCGAGGCUCAACCUCGAGCUGUCGGCGGAAACCAUCUGGCUAGAGUCCGGAAGAGGAGAGUGGAAUUCCUGGUGUAGCGGUGAAAUGCGCAGAUAUCAGGAAGAACACCUAUGGCGAAGGCAGCUCUCUGGGACGGUACUGACGCUGAGACGCGAAAGCGUGGGGAGCGAACAGG
rnacentral:rRNA from 1 species